UACGUAGGUCCCGAGCGUUGUCCGGAUUUAUUGGGCGUAAAGCGAGCGCAGGUGGUUUAAUAAGUCUGAUGUAAAAGGCAGUGGCUCAACCAUUGUGUGCAUUGGAAACUGUUAGACUUGAGUGCAGUAGAGGAGAGUGGAACUCCAUGUGUAGCGGUGAAAUGCGUAGAUAUAUGGAGGAACACCGGUGGCGAAAGCGGCUCUCUGGACUGUAACUGACACUGAGGCUCGAAAGCGUGGGUAGCAAACAGG
rnacentral:rRNA from 1 species